rnacentral:lncRNA from 1 species
GGCAAGUGGCGGCUGGAUGGUGGUGGUUGCCGGUUAGAAUAGGGAGAGAGGUGGUCGGUUAGAAGACGUUUGGAUGGUGGUGGUUGCCGGUUGAUGGUGGUGGUGUGGCCGCGAUAGUGGUGGUAGUACCCAUCUAUUUCGCUCAGAUCUGUUUGUGAUGGUGGCGGCAGCAAUUGGCGGUGGUGAUGGGGUUAGAUGGUGGUGGGUAGGCGGCAAGUUUAUAGAGAGAUAAAGUGAAUGGUGUGGUUCUGGUUAGCUUCGAUUCAGGUCCGGUUUGUUACAAAUUUGAUUUGGGUUUACUUGGUUUCGGGUCUAGUGGGGUUUAUAUUUAAUACUUCAUUGAUUGUUGCGUUUUGAAUAUUAUAUCGACAACUUGUGUUGUCGGGGUCGUCCAAAAACAGAGGAAACUCUGCCCGUUUUUCGUAAAAUUUCCGUAAAGCGAAACACGUUAAUUUUAUAAAUCGAUUUUUUUGAUUUUUUAGAAUUUUUAUAAUUUUUUAGAUUUUUUUAUAUUUUUUAGAAUUUUUUUGAUUUUUUUGAUUUUUUAGAAUUUUUUUGAUUUUUUUAUAAUUUUUUAGAAUUUUUUUGAUUUUUUAGGAUUUUUAUGAUUUUUUUUAUAACUACAGGGACUGUUUGUGUAAUAAAUAAAACUUAAAACUAGUAACUUAUAACUACAGGGACUGUUUGUGUAAUAAAUAAAACUUAAAAACUAACUUCAGUUAAAAAAAACUAACGGAGGUCCAUUGAGUACCAACAUAUUGAAACGUAGGAUUAUUAAUUACCAAAUAUGUAGGUAUGAUUAUUAUUUACCAAUGGGGCAAAGGUUGGUUUAUUAAAAACCAAUUUUCCUAUAAUUAAUUGCAAAAUCUGGUGUUUAUAAGGUUAAUUGACUCUAAAUGUUUUAUUGAUGCUAAUGAUGAUCAUAUCCUUGUUGUGUGAUAAGUAUUUACUUUUGCUAUUUGUCUAGUAUUUAAGCUUCAGUAAUGUUAUUUUGGAUGAAAACAAAAGUUAUACAAAUUAAAUCUAUGAAUAAAUAUAACACAUACAGGGAGGGUUAAAAUAAAAUCUAUUAAUUGAGACAAAAGAAACUUUUCUAGCUUUUGAAUAAUAUUUCAAAAAAUGGUUGGAUUGUUCGUCUCUUAGAGUACCUUUAAUGUGGCAAUGUGUUGGCAUCCAUAUAAUGUUGUAAAUAUCAAUAUGAACCGGUCGGUUAUAUCAGUUAAACCGGAUAUUGGACAUAUGUCCGGUACGAUAAAGGCCGGUAAAACUCAAAUACGGUUUGUCUAGUGUACCACCGGUAAAUCCAGUUUUACCGGUUCAAAUCAUUGAACCAGUUUGUAUUAUCUUAAAAUUUAAUUUUUUGAUUAUAAUAAAAUACGAUAUUAAGUUAAUACCGACAUUCCAUUGUUGGUAAUUAACCUAGUACCU